rnacentral:rRNA from 1 species
AGGACGAACGCUGGCGGCGUGCCUAACACGAUGCAAGUCGAACGGACUGAUUCCUUCGGGGAUGAAAGUUAGUGGCGGACGGGUGAGUAACGCGUGAGCAACCUGCCUUUCAGAGGGGAAUAACGUUUGGAAACAGACGCUAAUACCGCAUAACGCAUAGGAGUCGCAUGGCUUUUAUGCCAAAGGAGCAAUCCGCUGAAAGAUGGGCUCGCGUCCGAUUAGAUAGUUGGUGGGGUAACGGCCUACCAAGUCGACGAUCGGUAGCCGGACUGAGAGGUUGAACGGCCACAUUGGGACUGAGACACGGCCCAGACUCCUACGGGAGGCAGCAGUGGGGGAUAUUGCACAAUGGGCGCAAGCCUGAUGCAGCAACGCCGCGUGAGGGAUGACGGUUUUCGGAUUGUAAACCUCUGUCUUUGGUGACGAAGAAAUGACGGUAGCCGAGGAGGAAGCCACGGCUAACUACGUGCCAGCCGCCGC